AUACGUAGGGAGCGAGCGUUGUCCGGAAUUACUGGGCGUAAAGGGCGCGUAGGCGGCGCUUCAAGUCGUCUGUCAAAUGGGAGGGCUUAACCCUUUUUCGCAGACGAAACUGGAGAGCUUGAGAAGCAGAGAGGCAAACAGAAUUCCUGGUGUAGCGGUGAAAUGCGUAGAUAUCAGGAAGAAGACCAGUGGCGAAGGCGGUUUGCUGGCUGCAUACUGGCGCUGAGGCGGGAAAGCCAGGGGAGCAAACGGGAUUAGAUACCCCGGUAGUCCUGGCAGUAAACGAUGUAUGCUGGGUGUGAGACUAGCGAUAGUUUCGUGCCGAAGUUAACGCGAUAAGCAUACCGCCUGGGGAGUACGGUCGCAAGAUUGAAACUCAAAUGAAUUGACGGGG
rnacentral:rRNA from 1 species